CCCUCCCUGCCUCCCUCCCUCCCACCUCACAUUCCUACCAGUGCCAAAGAAUGAAAGACAGAGAGAGGGGGGGGGGGGGGUAUACAAGAAACAAAAACAGAGAAGACGUAUGGGAAUGUGGUACUCUAAACAACACCAUAUCUUGACUUGAUUGUGACGCCUCUUCUUCCUUAGUCCUGACCAAUCGCUGUGGCUUGUCGUUGUGUGUGUGUGUGUGUCUAAUGCCCACUUUGAAGACAGGACCGUAUCCAUGGCAGGUAGCCGUGACAACUGUGGUCAUGACGACGGCUCGCAUAGUAGCAAAGAGGCGUGACAACAGCCAAAUGCCCAUGGGAUUGUGAUGUAAAAAAAAAAAAAAAAAAAAAAAAAACGGAGAAUAUAGACAAUGUGCACAAGGGGGAAGUACUAAUAUGAGCACACACAUUCCUUCUCCGGGUGCCAUCCACACACAUUGCACCAGUCCAAGGCAUCUUGGUCCCUUAGCUUUCCCACUCAGUAAUUUAUUUUGUUUUGUGACCACCACAUUCACACACCACCUUUUUCCACCAACCCACUCUGCUAUUGUACUAACUACGGAUCUCAGUCCCUCCCACUCAAAACUAUCCUACCCCACAAAUACACUCCUUAUAGAGGCUUUCACAUCGACUCCGUCCAGACCCUGGAUCCACAUCUCACACUCAAAUCUGACUGUGUCAUUCCACUCCAUGAGUCUCUUAAUCUGGUAGUCAUUCCACUCCAUGAGUCUCUUAAUCUGGUAGUCAUUCCACUCCAUGAGUCUCUUAAUCUGGUAGUCAUUCCACUCCAUGAGUCUCUUAAUCUGGUAGUCAUUCCACUCCAUGAGUCUCUAAUUCUGGUAGUCAUUCCACUCCAUGAGUCUCUUAAUCUGGUAGUGUCAUUCCACUCCAUGAGUCUCUUAAUCUGGUAGUGUCAUUCCACUCCAUGAGUCUCUUAAUCUGGUAGUGUCAUUCCACUCCAUGAGUCUCUUAAUCUGGUAGUCAUUCCACUCCAUGAGUCUCUUAAUCUGGUAGUGCCAUUGGUUUUGAACCCACCAGAGAUCCACUCUUCCCCUCAAAACACUAUAGUGUUCUGAUCCACUCUUCCCAUCAAAACACUAUAGUGUUCUGAACCCACCAGAGAUCCACUCUUCCCCCUCAAACACUAUAGUGUUCUGAACCCACCAGAGAUCCACUCUUCCCCUCACUAGUGUUUUGUUUAGUGACCCACAGAUACUGCGUCCCAAAUGAAACCCUAUCAUUUAAGUAGUGCACUACAUCAGGGCCCUGGUUAAAUGUAGUGCUCUAGAAAGGGAAUAGGGUGCUAUAGGCCCUAGUUAAAAGAAGUGCACUAGAUGGGGAAUAGGGUGCUAUAGGCCCUGGUUAAAAUUAGUGCACUACAUAGGGAAUAGGGUGCCAUUUGGGCCACACAGACCCACUCCAUGCUCAUUUAAAUGACCACAGACAGAGCGGUCUGUUGACCACAGCACUUUAAUCACCACCAGCCAGGCCAAACUAAGUGAUCACAGAUCUGCUCAAGGCCAAGCUAAGCGAUCUCAGAUCUGUGCCAGGCCAAGCUAAGCGAUCACAGAUCUGCGCCAGGCCAAGCUAAGCGAUCACAGAUCUGCGCCAGGCCAAGCUAAGCGAUCACAGAUCUGUGCCAGGCCAGACUAAGCGAUCACAGAUCCGUCCUGAUUCAUACUAUACAAAACAGCUCCCCUCAUCCACAAAUCUGCAAUCCCAAUAAUCUGUCCUUUCUCCUGAAGUGUGCACUUGUGCACUCCUUCACAAAUGUAAAAGCAUUGGAUAGGUGGAGGUAUUGACUAGACUAGAGGAUAGGUGGAGGCAUGGACUAGAGGAUAGGUGGAGGCAUGGACUAGAGGAUAGGUGGAGGCAUGGACUAGAGGAUAGGUGGAGGCAUGGACUAGAGGAUAGGUGGAGGCAUGGACUACUAGAGGAUAGGUGGAGGCAUGGACUAGACUAGAGGAUAGGUGGAGGUAUGGACUAGACUAGAGGAUAGGUGGAGGUAUGGACUAGACUAGAGGAUAGGUGGAGGUAUGGACUAGACUAGAGGAUAGGUGGAGGUAUGGACUAGACUAGAGCGAGUUCCACCAUGAAUUUGCUUUUAUACCCAAGAAAGAAAGUGAACAAGUGCACACUGAUAAAAAGGACAGAUUGUGUUGGGCCCCGUGCUGAACUCCCUCCUUAGGUUUCUAUUGGGAAGUAGGGAAGGGAAGGGAUAGCGGGAGGAGAGUUGUAUCACCGUAGAGCUGGGGGUCAAAGGUCAUUGCACAAUAUUAUAGACUUGCUGUUCUGUAAAAGCCUAAUAUGCAAUGCAUUGUUUAUUAUUAUUAUUAUUGUUAUUAUUACCAUAAUAAAAUAUGAUAAAAUAUA